CUAGAGUCCUAUAAAAGAGCAUCUUCUGCCUGAUCCGAGAGAAAACAGCUGCUGUUGUUAUUGGUGAACCUCUGGAAUUUUCAAGACUAGACAAGAAUAAUGAGUGCAUCCAAACUCCAGGAAAGUGAGAUGAGAAUCGCACACUCUCUACAUAUGAAGGAGGAAGAGUCUGUUGUCAAAAGGAGAAAAAAAGUUUUUCAAAGCCUGAAGAAACUCCAAAUAGACUGCAGUAAGG